CGAUGAAGCCUUUCGGGGUGGAUUAGUGGCGAACGGGUGAGUAACACGUGGGCAAUCUGCCCUUCACUCUGGGACAAGCCCUGGAAACGGGGUCUAAUACCGGAUAACACUCUGUCCCUCAUGGGGCGGAGUUAAAAGCUCCGGCGGUGAAGGAUGAGCCCGCGGCCUAUCAGCUUGUUGGUGGGGUAAUGGCCUACCAAGGCGACGACGGGUAGCCGGCCUGAGAGGGCGACCGGCCACACUGGGACUGAGACACGGCCCAGACUCCUACGGGAGGCAGCAGUGGGGAAUAUUGCACAAUGGGCGAAAGCCUGAUGCAGCGACGCCGCGUGAGGGAUGACGGCCUUCGGGUUGUAAACCUCUUUCAGCAGGGAAGAAGCGAAAGUGACGGUACCUGCAGAAGAAGCGCCGGCUAACUACGUGCCAGCAGCCGCGGUAAUACGUAGGGCGCAAGCGUUGUCCGGAAUUAUUGGGCGUAAAGAGCUCGUAGGCGGCUUGUCACGUCGGAUGUGAAAGCUCGGGGCUUAACCCCGAGUCUGCAUUCGAUACGGGCUAGCUAGAGUGUGGUAGGGGAGAUCGGAAUUCCUGGUGUAGCGGUGAAAUGCGCAGAUAU
rnacentral:rRNA from 1 species